GUUUUUGGUGACAAGACCUGGAGAUAUCAGAAGUGAGAAUGCUGACAUGAGUAACGAGAAAUCCUGUGAAAAACACGAUCGCCUGCCAGUGGAAGGCUUUCUGCGUUCAGUCAAUCUACGCAGAGUGAAUCGGUCCCUAAGGAACCCCCGAAAGGGCUGCCGUCCGAUGGGUACACGAAAGUGACGAAGUUGCUUUGACUACUGAACCAUGCCUGGAUCGUCGGAGCGAAUUGGAUGAUCGGGCCGAGGGCUGCCCCCUCUUCCCCUCGCUCUCCUUUCCUUAAUAUUCACCGUCGAGUCAUCAAAGCCGUCAACUAAUUCAGAGGGGCCCGG
rnacentral:rRNA from 1 species